GCACAUGUGGUGGCAUGCAUCUAUAGUCCCAGUAUUCUGGUGGCUGAGGCGCAAGGAUCACUUGAGCCUAGGAGUUCUGGGCUGUAGGGCACUAUGCCGAUCAGGGGCCUGCACUAAGUUUAGCAUCAAUAUGACCUGCUGGGAAAAGGGGCCCACCAAGUUGUCUAAGAAGGGAUAAAAUGGCUGGGGCCAGAAAUGGAGCAGGUCAGAACUCCAGUGCUGAUCAGUAGUGGGAUCGUGCCUGUGAAUAGCCACUGCAUUCCAGCCUGGGCAACAUAGCAAGAACCCAUCUCU
rnacentral:SRP_RNA from 1 species